rnacentral:pre_miRNA from 1 species
UUCUUAUUGGAUGAUGACUGUCACGUGUCAUUGAUCAAUGAAACAACAAUGUAUUUCAUUUUCCAUGAAGUUGACAUCCAAUCAGAAUAUAACACGUGAUAGUCAUCAUCC